rnacentral:rRNA from 1 species
AUGUGGGAGGAAUGCUUGCCUCAUAUUGAAUUUGCUUAUAAUCGUUCAUUGCAUUCUACUACUAAGAUGUGCCCUUUUGAAGUUGUGUAUGGUUUCCUACCUCGUGCACCUAUUGAUUUGUUGCCUCUUCCAUCUUCGGAGAAGGUUAAUUUUGAUGCUAAACAACGUGCUGAAUUAAUUUUAAAAAUGCAUGAGUUAACUAAGGAAAACAUUGAGCGUAUGAAUGCUAAAUAUAAACUUGCUGGAGAUAAGGGUAGAAAACAUGUUGUGUUUGCACCCGGAGAUCUUGUUUGGUUACAUUUGCGUAAGGAUAGAUUUCCUGAUUUGCGCAAAUCAAAGCUAAUGCCACGUGCUGAUGGUCCUUUUAAGGUGUUAGAGAAAAUAAAUGAUAAUGCAUAUAAACUUGAGCUGCCUGCAGAUUUUGGGGUUAGUCCCACUUUUAACAUUGCAGAUUUGAAGCCGUAUUUGGGUGAGGAAGAUGAACUUCCGUCGAGGACGACUUCAUUUCAAGAAGGGGAGGAUGAUGAGGACAUCAAUACAAUUGUUACACCCACAGCCCCUGCUGCUAUACAUACUGGACCAAUUACUAGAGCUCGUGCACGCCAACUAAAUUACCAGGAAACAGACCCUCGUGGUCAGGUUGAUCGUGCUCCGGCGUGGUCAAUAACCUCUCGGAGUUGGUUUAGCGAUUGCUAA